rnacentral:rRNA from 1 species
UACGAAGGGGGCGAGCGUUGUUCGGAAUUACUGGGCGUAAAGGGUCCGUAGGCGGUGCGGCAAGUCGGGAGUGAAAUCUCUGGGCUUAACUCAGAGGCUGCUUCCGAAACUGCCGUGCUCGAGUGUGAGAGAGGCGAGUGGAAUUACGGGUGUAGCGGUGAAAUGCGUAGAUAUCCGUAGGAACAUCCGAGGCGAAGGCGGCUCGCUGGAUCACUACUGACGCUGAGGGACGAAAGCUAGGGGAGCAAACAGG